rnacentral:lncRNA from 1 species
AUCCGACCAUGCUGUAAAAAUUUCACCAUUUGUCAUCAUUUCAGGAUUAUAAUUAACUUUUGGAAUUAACAUAUUGUAGAAUGAAAUCAUCAAACUUCAUAAUGCUCUUGCCACGUUCGGAUAAAAUUAUAUAAUAAUAUGAAUAAAAUCUGAAUCAUCUAAUGCCAGAGACGAUAUCUAUAACCAAGUAUAGUUUGAUUACUCGUUGACUGACCUGUGACCUCCAAAGGCUCACGACGUGUCUUCGUUCGUAUCCAUGAUAUCAUCUUCUGUGAAGAAGAAUUUAAAUUGUUUCGUGAGUGAGGAUCACACUUUUUUAUUCAUUU